UGGGGAAUGUUGGACAAUGGGGGAAACCCUGAUCCAGCGAUGCCGCGUGAAUGAAGAAGGCCUUAGGGUUGUAAAGUUCUUUCACCUGUGACGAUGAUGACGGUAACAGGAGAAGAAGCCCCGGCUAACUCCGUGCCAGCAGCCGCGGUAAGACGGAGGGGGCUAGCGUUGUUCGGAAUGACUGGGCGUAAAGGGCGCGUAGGCGGCUUAUCAAGUCAGGUGUGAAAGCCUUGGGCUUAACCCAAGAACUGCGCUUGAUACUGAUAGGCUUGAGGAUGAUAGAGGAAAGCGGAAUUCCUAGUGUAGAGGUGAAAUUCGUAGAUAUUAGGAAGAACACCAGAGGCGAAGGCGGCUUUCUGGAUCAUAUCUGACGCUGAGGCGCGAAAGCGUGGGGAGCAAA
rnacentral:rRNA from 1 species